AUCUGUGGCAUCCACAAUUAUGAAGAUACGAGAAAGAGAAUGCCCAUAUCUACCAUUGCAGAACCUGGAUCAGAUUGGAUCGUUAUUAUGGCCAGAAUGAAGAAAUUAAUCAGCGAUGACAUUUAUUUUUCUCUCGCUUGCACUCUGCCUGUGUUCUGCUGAGCCUAUACAGGCCUCCCCAUCGUUUUUUCAAUCGACAUGCGCACAGGUGAUGGUCUGCUGCUAGUGUUUUAAUCGCUGGCUGGCUGUCUGAGAAGACACACAACCAGAACCUCCGCUUGAACCAAGCUGCAGUAGCCCGGGAGCCUGAAGAAAUUACUGCUGUUUAGCUCGUCGCGGUAGACGGCCCCUCCCACGCGGCCGGGUUAAGCGUGAUGGACACCUGGAAAGGCGUAGAGAGGUGAUCCAUCGGAAUACAGUAGUCCGUCCAUAUUGGUAGUUGCAUGGUUGACGCCAGGAUCCACGGGUGCCCAACCGUGUAUGUUUUCCCCAUGUCACGAAGUAAGCCCGAAGGCUUUUCUGCAGGUAUAGAGGCUACUGCGCCACACGAAACAUAGACAAUAUAUAAAUAUAAUAUACGCAUCCAUACAUAAGCGUAAUUAGAAGAGACUAAACCUUAGAUCCUUAUAGUAAUGACACAAAAACACAUUUUACAUCUUAUCUACUUAUGUCAUCGCCAUCUACAUCACUUCCCCCUCCCCUAGAACUGCACACUACACGAAACAGUGUGGAAUGGGAGAAUGUGCAAAA